rnacentral:rRNA from 1 species
AAUAUUGCACAAUGGAGGGAACUCUGAUGCAGCAACGCCGCGUGAGUGAAGAAGGUUUUCGGAUCGUAAAACUCUGUCAUUGGGGAAGAAUAAAUGACGGUACCCAAUGAGGAAGCCCCGGCUAACUACGUGCCAGCAGCCGCGGUAAUACAUAGGGGGCGAGCGUUAUCCGGAAUUAUUGGGCGUAAAGCGUGCGUAGGCGGCUUAUUAAGUCUGACGUGAAAUCCCACAGCUUAACUGUGGAGGGUCGUUGGAAACUGGUAGGCUUGAGUACAGUAGAGGUAAGUGGAAUUCCAAGUGGAGCGGUGGAAUGCGUAGAUAUUUGGAGGAACACCAGUGGCGAAGGCGGCUUACUGGGCUGGAACUGACGCUGAUGCACGAAAGCGUGGGGAGCAAAC